UACGAAGGGGGCUAGCGUUGUUCGGAAUUACUGGGCGUAAAGCGCACGUAGGCGGACUACUAAGUCAGGGGUGAAAUCCCGGGGCUCAACCCCGGAACUGCCUUUGAUACUGAUAGUCUCGAGUCCGGAAGAGGUGAGUGGAAUUCCGAGUGUAGAGGUGAAAUUCGUAGAUAUUAGGAGGAACACCAGUGGCGAAGGCGGCUCACUGGUCCGGUACUGACGCUGAGGUGCGAAAGCGUGGGGAGCAAACAGG
rnacentral:rRNA from 1 species